UGAAUACGAGACGCUAAGGCGUCGAAGUAGUGUAUGUCAUACUUCCAAGAAAAGCUUGCACUGUCAUAGAUAAAAAACGCCUGUACCAUAACCGACACAGGUGGGUAGGUAGAGUAUACUAAGGGGCGCGAGAUAACUCUCUCUAAGGAACUCGGCAAAAUAACUCCGUAACUUCGGGAGAAGGAGUGCCUUAUUCGUAAGGUUGCAAUAACAAGAUCCAAGCGACUGUUUAUCAAAAACACAGGUCUCCGCUAAGUCGUAAGACGAUGUAUGGGGGCUGACGCCUGCCCAGUGCCAGAAGGUUAAAGAAGUUGGUUAGCAAUUGCGAAGCUGAUAACUGAAGCCCUGGUGAACGGCGGCCGUAACAAUAACGGUCCUGAGUUAGCGAAAUUCCUUGUCGGGUAAGUUCCGACCCGCACGAAAGGCGUAAUGAUUUGGAUACUGUCUCGGAGAGGGGCUCGGUGAAAUAGACUUGUCUGUGAAGAUGCGGACUACCUGCACCAGGACAGAAAGACCCUAUGAAGCUUUACUGUAACUUGAAAUUGAAAUUGGACUUUAUUCGCGCAGUAUAGGUGGGAGGCGUUGAUUAUAAUCUUGUGGGAUUAUUGGAGCCAUCAGUGGGAUACCACUCUUGUAAUGUUAGAUUUCUAACUUUGAAUCAUUAUCUGGUCAAAGAACAGUUUCAGGCGGGCAGUUUGACUGGGGCGGUCGCCUCCUAAACGGUAACGGAGGCGUACAAAGGUUUCCUCUGAACGGUUAGAAAUCGUAUCUAGAGUGUAAAGGCAUAAGGAAGCUUGACUGUGAGACCUACAAGUCGAGCAGGGACGAAAGUCGGUCUUAGUGAUCUGACGGUACUGAGUGGAAAGGCCGUCACUCAACGGAUAAAAGUUACUCUAGGGAUAACAGGCUGAUCUCCCCCAAGAGUUCACAUCGACGGGGAGGUUUGGCACCUCGAUGUCGGCUCAUCGCAUCCUGGGGCGGUAGUACGUCCCAAGGGUUGGGCUGUUCGCCCAUGAAAGCGGUACGCGAGCUGGGUUCGGAACGUCGUGAGACAGUUCGGUCCAUAUCCGGUGUAGGCGUUAGAAUAUUGAGAGGAGCCUUCUUUAGUACGAGAGGACCGAGAAGGACAUACCUCUGGUGUACCAGUUAUCGUGCCAACGGUAAACGCUGGGUAGCUAUGUAUGGAGUGGAUAACCGCUGAAAGCAUCUAAGUGGGAAGCCCACCUCAAGAUAAGUAUUCCC
rnacentral:rRNA from 1 species